rnacentral:rRNA from 1 species
UGCGAAACACGUGUGCAACCUGCCUUUAUCUGGGGGAAAACCUCUUCGAAAGGCAGAUCAAUACCCCCUAACAUACUUAUCGGCAUCGCAUGAUAUCGCAAACUCCUGUGCAUAUAGAUCGGCCCACGCCAGAUUAGAUAGUUGGUGAGGUAACGGCUCACCAAGUCUACGAUCUUUAGGGGGCCUGAGAGGCUGAUCCCCCACACUGGUACUGAGACACGGACCAGACUCCUACGGGAGGCAGCAGUGAGGAAUUUUGGACAAUGGGUGAGAGCCUGAUCCAGCCAUCCCGCGUGAAGGACGACGGCCCUAUGGGUUGUAAACUUCUUUUGUAUAGGGAUAAACCUACUCUCGUGAGAGUAGCUGAAGGUACUAUACGAAUAAACACCGGCUAACUCCGUGCCAGCAGCCGC